CGCGUAGGCGGCUUGGUAAGUCGGAUGUGAAAACCCGAGGCUCAACCUCGGGCGUGCAUCCGAUACUGCCCGGCUAGAGGUAGGUAGGGGAGAUCGGAAUUCCUGGUGUAGCGGUGAAAUGCGCAGAUAUCAGGAGGAACACCGGUGGCGAAGGCGGAUCUCUGGGCCUUACCUGACACUCAGGCGCGAAAGCUAGGGGAGCGAACA
rnacentral:rRNA from 1 species